rnacentral:rRNA from 1 species
AGCGAACGCUGGCGGCAGGCUUAACACAUGCAAGUCGAGCGGGCACUUUCGGGUGUCAGCGGCGGACGGGUGAGUAACGCGUGGGAACGUGCCCUCUGGUUCGGAAUAACUCAGGGAAACUUGAGCUAAUACCGGAUACGCCCUUUUGGGGAAAGGCUUGCUGCCGGAGGAUCGGCCCGCGUCUGAUUAGCUAGUUGGUGAGGUAACGGCUCACCAAGGCGACGAUCAGUAGCUGGUCUGAGAGGAUGAUCAGCCACACUGGGACUGAGACACGGCCCAGACUCCUACGGGAAGCAGCAGUGGGGAAUAUUGGACAAUGGGCGCAAGCCUGAUCCAGCCAUGCCGCGUGAGUGAUGAAGGCCUUAGGGUUGUAAGGCUCUUUUAUCCGGGACGAUAAUGACGGUACCGGAGGAAUAAGCCCCGGCUAACUUCGUG